rnacentral:tRNA from 1 species
GGCUGGUUAGCUCAGUCAGUUGAGCGUAGCACUAACAACGCUAACAAUGCUAAGGUUGCGGGUUCGACUCCCGUUCAGUCC